UUUCCCUUAUUUCUUCCCUUCUCUUCUCUUCCCUUCUUUACUCUUCUCUCUUUUCCCUUCUGCCAGCUCCGCUGCCUGAACGCUAGCGUUGACGGCCGAAAAUCACCUCACAGCGGCGGCGCACCUCCAAUCCCCACAAAAUCGCACCAUCUCCUCCUCUCUCCAUAUCUCCAACUCAAGUCCUCAAAAUCCCAACCAAACUCCAUGAAUCGUCAAAAACCCGAAGCCCUAGCCUCCCCUUUCACCUCAAAUUCCUCAAUAUUGAGACCUCACCACCCCUUAAUACAUACAUGAGCGUGUAUGUCUUCCCUUGAUCUAUAACAUAGUACUAUUUUGGACCCAAUUUCCGAUGACUAAUUCCGGCCAAACUCCGGCCACCACCACUAUACCACCACUGCUCCAUCAGCCAAACAACCUUUGUAACUCUUCUUCUAGCAUAAACAUGACCGCACAAUACCUUUUUCUCUUUGGCAUGAUCUGGAAUUAACCCCAGUAAUACCAAAAAUUAUUUUUUCCAGCACUUGCCAUCGAGAAAAUAGUGCUUGGGUAGUCGAUUUGCUGCGGUUUGCAUCGUCCUUGAGAUUUGAGGACAACCGAUUUGGAUCGUUCGGUACAACUCCUAACUUUUUUUAUUUUUCUUUUAGUUUCUAUGUUCUGCUUUUUAGUUUCUGGUUUUGUUUGUCUGUUUUUAUCGAUAGUAUGAUUGUUGAUUAGUCGUCUCUGUUUAGCCUAGUUGUUUAUUAGAUUGUCAUUGACCAAACUGAUCUUGGUGUCGUUGAAUCGUUUAUUUAGUUGUUGUUAGUCAUUGUUGGAUAGUUAACAAUGCUCGUUUAAUUUUUGUUUCGCACUUUAGUUGGUGAAUUCAGUUGUUUUCCAUGUUAGUUUGCUAGUUAGUUUGAGUGCUCAAUUUAGUUAAAAUCAAAAGUAUUGUUUCUGCUUUGACAGUUCCAUAGUGGUUUGAGUUUGGUUUGUGUUGAUCAAGUAGGUUGGUACUGAUAGUUAAAAGUUGAAGAUUAGAUAAAGUAAUCAUGAAAUAGGGUACUUUAGUAGCCUACGUUUUACUAGUAGGGUGGAUGAGAAGACUAUUUUCUUCCUUGCUUAUGCUACAUCAGGUUUUCAGGCUGUCCUUUUACCUUUUGGACAUCCUUUGAACAGUAAUUAGCACACAAAGUUAGUCCUUUUUGGACAUACUUUUGGUAAACCAAAAUCUAUCCAAAAAGUAGCUUUCUUUACCUAUUUAAGGGUUGGCUUUUUUCUCACUUUAGACACACACACUCUAUCACACUAGAAAUCAGUUUACACACUCAAAAAAGAAAAUAAAACUUGAGAGGAAAAAAUCAACAGCUGAUUUCACUACUAUUCAUUGCUGUUUUUGCUGUCGUUUUUGCUGAUUUCACCGCUGUAUUUCUUAAUCUGCGAACCAGGUGAUUUCCUCAACUAUUGUACUAUUUUUGGGUCAAGAAUGAAUACAAUUGAAGCGCUUUGAGUUCUCUUUACUUCGUUGUACCUUAAAAGCAUUCUGGUCUCAUUAGCCUUGUGUUUAAAUGUCAAGCAUAUGUAAUGGACAUUGAAGGUUCCAAUUCCUUACGCGUUAAAAAUAGAUUUUGUUUAAGGUCAAUUUUAUACCAUGUUGAUGUUUUUUUUCCAGAUUUAUUCUUGUGGUAGACUCAAAU
rnacentral:lncRNA from 1 species